rnacentral:rRNA from 1 species
CUACCAUGGCAGUCACGGGUAACGGAGAAUUAGGGUUCGAUUCCGGAGAGGGAGCCUGAGAAACGGCUACCACAUCUACGGAAGGCAGCAGGCGCGAAAAUUGCCCAAUCCUGACACGGGGAGGCAGUGACAAGAAAUAACAACUCUAGGUUUUCUUAGAAGUGUAAUGAGGAUAAUUUACAAACCUUACCGAAUGCAAUUGGAGGGCAAGUCUGGUGCCAGCAGCCGCGGUAAUUCCAGCUCCAAUAGCGUAUAUUAAAGUUGUUGCAGUUAAAAAGCUCGUAGUUGAAGUUCUGAUUGUUCGGGUUUCUAGACAUUAGUCGGAGAUACUGACAGUCAUCCGCUUGCAAACAUAUGUUCGAUCUUUACCGGUUGGCUAUAUGAGUAAGCAUUUUACCUUGAGAAAAACAGAGUGUUCCAGGCAGGUUUGUCCGGAAUGCAUUAGCAUGGAAUAAUAGAAUAUGACUGAAGUCUAUUUAUUGGUUACAGGCUUUAGUAAUGAUUAAUAGGAACAGUCGGGGGCAUUCGUACUCAGCAGUCAGAGGUGAAAUUCUAAGAUUUGCUGAAGACGAACUAAUGCGAAAGCAUUUGCCAAGGAUGUUUUCAUUAAUCAAGAACGAAAGUUAGGGGAUC